ensembl:lncRNA SNHG14 small nucleolar RNA host gene 14
GGAGAUGGCAGGAAGCCCUGGACAUACAUGGUGUGGGGGCUCCUCCAGAGGCUGUUGGGAUCCUCCUGGAUGUGGUGUGGGCAUGGAAGGAAGGCCAGUGGAGACAAUGGAUGAUCUUGUUCUUAGCAGAUCACUGGAUGUGGCAGGGAGUCCUAGGACAUGUGUGGUGUGGGCUUCUUCAGGUGCUGGUGGUGUUGGCAUGAGGAAAGGAGGUAUCUUCGAGGGACAAUCUUCUUCUUGUGCGAUCCUUGGAGAUGCCAUGAGGCCCCUGGACACAUGUGGUGUGGGCUCCUUUGGAGGCUGUUGUAUCCCUUCUGAAUGUGGCGUGGGCAUAGAAGGAAGGCCAGUGGCCACGAGGGACAAUCUUGGUCUUGGGAGAUCCUGGAAAUGAUAGGGAGUCCCUUGAUAUGUGUGGCAUGGGCUCCUUCAGGUGCUAGUGGAUUCCUUAGGAUGGUGGUGUUGGCAUGAAAGGCAGGCUUGUAUCAUGAGGAAUGAUUGUCAUCUUGUCUGAUUCUUGGAGAUGGCAGGAAGCCCCUGGAAACACAUGGUGUGGACUCUUUCACAGGCUGUUGAAACCCUCCUGAAUGUGAGGCCAGAGACAGGCAGACAGCAGAUGUAUUGCAGGGAGCUGGAUGACAUGGCCCUUGGAACCUGUGCACAUGCCUGCCUUUCUGAUGCACGUCCAUGUUUUCUCUGCACCUCCCCGGUGGUGUUGGUAUAAAAAGCAGGCUUACAUCAGCAAGGGAUGAUUGUCGUCUCAUGCGAUCCUGGGAGAUGGCAGAAGUCCCGGGACACAUGGAGUGUGGGCUCUUUCGGAGGCUGUUGGAUCCCUCCUGAAUGUGUUGUGGCCAUGGAAGUAAGGCCAGUGGCUACGAGGGACAGUCUUCAUCUUGGGAGAUCCCUAGAGAGGGCAGGGAGCCCCUUGACAUGUGGAAUGUGAUCUCUGUUGGGUGCUGGUGGAUCCCACAGGUGGUCUGGCAUGGAAGAAGGCCAGAGGCUGCGAUGGAUCAUCUUUGUCUUGGGAGAUUCCUGGAGAUGGUGGGGAGCCCCUGGGCACGUGCAGCAUAUGUGGCGUGGGCUUCUUCAGGUGCUGGUGGAUCCCUCAGGAUGUUCAUUGUGGAACCAGCACAGAUUUUCAUACGAAAGUUAUUUCUUUUUAACCUCAAAAAGUGACAGAAUGGAGUGUAUCAUGAAAAAGUCUGACAUCAAAACCUCAAAAUGUGAUAUUGAUUGGGUGAGAUAGAAUUCCAUGGAAUUUCAUUGCCAAACCAGUGAAGUGCUAAUUUUGACAUUUGUACCAGCUAACGUAGCUGUGAAGAAACACACCAAUACACUUCUAAGGACAGCAUAGACCAAGAUCUAGGUUUCAUAUGGAUGAAUUUAUUCUUCCCUUUGAGGCAAGACAAGAAGGAAAGAAAGUAUUGGGAAUAAUGCUGCCCUCCCAUCCUCAAGGGCCAGUGGGAACUCUAAUAUUGAUUGGUUUUCACAGAAUUCCAUGGACUUUAACUGCUGAACCAAUGAUGCACUGAUUUUGUCACUUGUACCAGCUAACGCAUCUGGGAGGCAACAAAACAAUACUCUCCUGAGGUAACAUCGAAUUUUUAGUAAAUUCAUUUUUGUGUGUUGUUUUUAUUAUUUUUUUAAGUAAUUGAGAAUUUCAUUAGGUGUGCAAGGAGUCACUUAAUACAAAUAGUAUUAGGCAUUCAAUACUCUCAUGAGAUAUCUGAGCCUUCAGUUUCUUUUAUUUUAACAUUUUACAUUUUUCUCAACUUUAACAUCAGAAACAUCCUAUAAGUGUAAUAAAAUUCUUAUACUUUACAUAUAGUUACAUAGUAAAUCCUCCUGUCUUAUUUAAGUUUGAAAAAUGAACAUGUAUACUUCUCAUUCCCAUGUAUAUAAUCUCUUCCCACAGAAUGAGGUGGACCAAGAAACUGGGCUUCAUACGGAUGAAUUUAUUUUUUUCCCUGUGUGGAGACAUAAAGGAAAAGUAUAGUGAAUAAUUCCGCCUCCCACCCACAAGUCCCCAUGGGAAUUCUCACAUGUUAAAAAGCAUUUUGUCCUGAAAAUAACAACAAUUUUUCUUAGGGAAUCAGGACACUCCAAUGACAGUGAGACUCUGGCUAUGCCAGGCAGCCAUGGGCUGGUCAUUGUGCUGCUGGUCUCCAUGAUUGAAUAGUGUGGGUCAUUGGUGACAGAUAGCUAUGUGCUCAGUGUCUGCCACAUAUCUCAGGUUCAAAGUCCCUUUUAUAAAUGUGCCUGGAUGGAUGACGACUUAAAAAUGAAUCUCGUUGGAAUCUGAGCAAAACGAGUGAGCAAACCACUUCUGUGCAGUUCUGUGAACUGAGGUCAAGCACAGGGACCAUGCCAGGCAAACACGUGCAGAGAGUUCAGUUUGGUCAGCAACUGGUACCAAAAUGGCCUGUGGUAUUGGAAAACAAACCCACUCACAUAGCUUACAGCACAUGAAUUGUACAGAGGUCUGUAUGUGUUUGUAUAUAUUUAUAUAUGUUUGUGUACAUAUAUCUUUGGGGAUUAUAUGGCAUUUCUUUCAGUGUUUGGCUGGCAGUGUCCAUACUCUCAUAGUAAACAGAAUUACACAAGAGUAGAGGGAACAGUAGGAAAUGGUUUUGCCUACCCUAGAGUCUUUUAUACAUGUUUUUAGGUGCUAUAAUCUUGUGUGUGAGGUCAGUCUCUCAGGUUCAUUAGAUGGACAGUGUAAAAGGUAUUAUGAGGUUUUACAUAUUAUUUAUCUAUUAAGUAAAAGAAAUAUAUGGAAAUUGAAGAGUAGCUUUUAUCUAUUAAAGAAAAGAAUGUAUGGAAAUUGAAGGGUACUUUCUAUUUGUGGAAAGUCUUAACAUUUUAAUUUCCUUAUUGAUCUUGUCACAGAAGUUGGAAUUUAAGUUUUGCCUGUCACUCAAAGAGAAGCUUUUUAGACAUUUGAUUAAGGGAUUCUAGUAGAUGCUAUAGUAAACAUUUCUAAUUGUAAAAUGAUUAAAUUUGCAAUUCAUAGAGUUUUAUGUGGAUUUCAUUGCCUGAUAUUCAUUAUUUUUAUUAGUGGGUUUCAUAGAUGUUUAAAGGGAGAUCCUAGUUUUAUUGUGUGAUACUAAGGGAGGCCUUUUGGUCUUAGAAAACUGACUUUCAGUACUACCCAUUUCCAGGGAGUGAGCAUAAUUUUUAUUCUCAUACCACAUGGGCAAGUGAAUAUCUAUGGUUUAUUUCUUAUAACUCGUCAUUAGUAAUUAUGAAAGUAAGAAAGUUGACAAAUGAAACUCUUUUAAUUAUGAGGGUUUCAUUUGUCGACUUCCUACUUCCUCAGUGUGCUUUGUGUAUUGGAGGUAAUACUGGAAUUGCAUGGAAUUCCUACUGCUGCUCCAGUAACCUGCUGAUUUUGUCACGUGUACCAGAUUCGUUGUCUGGCAAUGAGAACAAUACACUUCAGAGGUAAUAUUGCAAUUUUUAGUAAGUGCAUUUUUCCUGGGUUCGUUCUAUUAUUUUAUUUUAGCAAGUAAGAUUAUAAUUGGUUUUUCAAGCAGUCUGUUAAUCCAAAUGGUGUGAGGCCCUAAUAAUCUGGUUAGUCAUCUGAAGUUUCUGUGUUCUUUGUACAGUAUUUUUAUACUUCCUCUGUUUUCAAAUAACAUUAGGAUACCCUACUAGCAAAAUAAUUUAGUAUAUUUUAUAUACUUGUGCAUAGUAAGCCUGUUGUAUAUGUACACUAUUUGCAUGGUUGGCAAAUUACAUUUGCACUUUUUAUUUUUCUAUAAUUUUUUCCUAUUUUCAAAGGUUAAUGUGGACCAAAAACUAGAUUUCAUAUAAAAGAGUUUAUUCCUUCUACUUGAGGUGUGACAUGAAGGAAAGUAAUGGAAAUAAUUCUGCCCUCCCAUUCUCAAGGGCCAGGGGGAAUUCAAAUAUUGAACGGAAGUGAUUUUGGAAUUGCAUGGAAUUCUCACUGCCAUCCCAAAGAAAUGCUGAUCUUGUCACUCUUACCUGUUUCAUUCCCUGGGGGCAGAACAAAAGGACGCACUCCAAAGAUCGGCAUGAACCAAGAACUGGGUUUCAUAUAAAAUAUUUUAUUCUGUCCUCUUGAGAUGUGACAUGAGAAAAGUAUUGAGAAUACUUCUAUCACCUCAUCUUCAAGAAUCCGUAGGAAUUCUCCCAUGGUGGACUUUACGGUUAACCUGAACAGGUCUUGGAAAAAGGACUUUAAACAUUCUCCUGUUCUGUGGAAUAAGUAUACUUUUUUCUGGACAUACACCUUGUCAGUGAGUUCCAUGUGAUACUAGAGUUGCAUAGAUUUUUAACCUUUACGCCAAUGAAGAUCUGAGGCAAACAUUGCCCCUUUUUUAGAAGUUUGCAUUUGUCACUGAUAACUGUAAUAAUUGAUCUUGUUGAAAAGCCUGGGAAAUGAAGAUCUGAUAUGUCACUUUUACCGGCUUCCUCAACUGAAAAAGAAUACAAUGAAACACGCUGAGAAUUUUUGUGCUUUCUCAGUCUUGCUGAUGAUCUUUCUAUGGGCCUGAAGCGUGGAGAGUGCCAGAGAGGCUGAUCCUCAGCAGUGUGGCAGAGGAAAGUUGGGUGCGACUAAGGGGUAUGCGGUGCCCACAUGCCACUGGGUCCUCAGCAGUACCACCUGGUGAGCGUCACUCUUGAGAGCUGAGAGUAGGUGGGAAGCAGCUCAUGGUGAGAGGGUUCAGAGGCCGCCUUUCCCUCUCUGCGCACUGCCCAGUUCUUCUAGUCACAUGUCCCGGGACAGUACCAUACCUGUGUGUGUCCUGCCUGCAUUGCUGUGACCACUUUUAGUGGAAUCAGGUGCAGUGCAGCUCUGCAGCUUCUGCAAAUUGCCACGCUCCCACUCUCAAGCAGGUUGAGUGCUACGAGUGAUUUUUAGACCAUUUGUUUAUUCCCUUAUCAUGGCUUUUUGUGACUUCUUCCUCCCCAGUCCGUUGGGUCACCUUUAAAGGUAAAGUAAUCCUGAGGUGGUUGAAUUUACGGAAAUGCUAUGCAUUAUUGUGAAUGGGAUGUUCACCGGGCCAACAUCUUCUUGGAACUUUGAGCAAACUGAUAGUCUGGUUGCACAUUUGAUUUGUCUGGCAGUAAAUGUUGGACAGUAUUUGGACUGAUGGAAGCUAGAGACAAACACAUUGACUAUUGUUGAAUAACACUGGAAACAUCUUAGGAGAGCAGUACAUUAGCUAAUUUAAUAGGUACAUAAACUGAAUCCCACUGUCUUGUGCUUGACGGACCAGCAGACACAUAUGCUUGUAUCGUUCUCAUGUUUCUACAUGUUUACCCUAUUCCCACAGGUCAACAAAGACAAGGCACCUAGCCCCACAUGAAACUUUAUUCCUUUCCCUUUUGAGAUGUGACAUGAAAGAAAAUAACAGAAAUGAUUUUUCCAUCCCAUCCUCAGGGACCAGUGGGAAUGAAUUUUACCAUCCCACCCUCAAGGGCCAGGUCAGGUCGCUAAGCAUUUUGUCACUAAAAUAUUGCCCUUUUUUAGGGAUUAUGUAAUACUCUAUAAGGCACUGUCUGUGCUGGGCAGCAUGGAGCCUGGGUCAUUGCUGUGUUGGGGGCUUGGUCUCCAUGACUUAAUAGGGUGUAUCAGUGUGUCCCAGAGAAGUGUACUCCAGAGUGCUCAUUUUCUUUCAUGUUUCUGAAGCAAACAGUGCCCCCUUUUUUAGAAGUUUGCAUGUGUCACUGAUAACUUUAAUAAUUGAUCUUGUUGAAAAACCUGGGAAAACAGUGAGUUAAAUAAUAACUUCUCUGAACAUGAGGUCCAGCCCAAUUACCUGCCCUAAGCAAACUAUAUGGAAGGAGAGUUCAGUUUGUUCAGCUAUGUGGUCCCAGCAAGGACUGUGGUACUGGAAAACUAACCAGCUUACAUGCACUAGAGAAGUAGAAUUGGACAGUGAUCUGUAGGUACCCAGUUUGGAGAUGAAAUUGCAACUCUGAGUUCUUGAUUGGCAACAUAAAUACGUUGAUAGUAAACAGACCCUGGGGAAUCAGCACUUGAGUUGUGAAAAGCGGGAAAUAGCUAUGCCUACACUAGAGCCAUUCACACUUUUGCUGGAGCUGCAAUAAUCUUCUAAGUCAUGCUUGCUCUCGUGAGGGCAAUGAGAUGGUCACAAUCCAAGGAGAGUUGGGGUUUUCACUUUUCAUUUCUCUAUUAAGUGAAAAAAGUAUAUGAAAAUUGAAAAAUAGAUAUUACUUAUGUAAUCUUCACAGUAUAAUUUGCUUGCCAAGCAGUCACUGGGAUUUAAUCAGUUUCUUUGUCUUUCGUUUUUCUCAUAAGCUGAGAGAGUAAUUUUGUGUGCACAGAAGUACUGUCUUCAGCUACAUGCUGCAUUAAACAUUCCUAGAUGUGAAAUGAUUAAAUUUCCAAGUUUUUAAAAUGUGGAUUUUUCUGGCCACUUUUAUAUCUCUUCAAUGGGUUUCUAAUGGAUUUAAGGAGAGAGCCUAGUCAUGAUGAAUGGUGUUGUGUUGGGUAUGCUGAGGAAACUUUGAGACCAAUGUUUCAGAAAAAAUUAUUUCUAUACUGUCAUGUUUCAAGUACCGAGUAUUGUUCUUGUCAUACAGAUGGUCCAGUGAACAUCUCUGGUGAAUUCCUUACAACCAACCUCUUGUUACUAAAUAUUCCAUUAGGAAUGUUUUGUUUCUCAACUCCCUGAUUUCCCCUUUAUAGAUUGGAAGUGAUAUUGGUGGAAGACAACAUUUUGCCGCUUGGAAUUCUCACCUCCACACCAAAGAAGUACUGUUUUUGUCAUUUGCACCAGCUUCUUUCUCCAGGAAAGAUCAAAACGAUGCACUGCAAGGUUAACAUCCAAUUUUUAAUACAUGUAAUUCCCUGGAUUAUUUUUGUUGUGUUAUUAAAUAACUUAGAAUUUUUUUUACAAAGUCUGUUGAACCAAACACUGUAAGGCAUUAAUAACCUGGUGAGUUAUUUGAGGCCUUUUUUCCUCUCCUAGAAUUUUUGCACAAUUUAUAUUUUGAAUAAUAUCAGAGACAUCCUAGUAGAGUAAUGAAUUAGUACAUUUUAUAUGCAGAUACAUAGUGAAGCCUCCUUUCUUAUGCAUAUUUGACAAAUGGACAUGUAUAUUUCUCAUCUUCCCAUAUUUUUACUCCAUUUCCACAGGUCAUGUAGACCAAAAUGUGAAUGUCAUAUGAAAGAGUUUAAACAUUGCCCUUGAAAUAUGACAGAAAGUAUCAGAAAUAAUUAUACCAUUCCAUGCUCACAGGCCAGUGGGAAUUCUCACAGUAAGCAUUUUGUCCAGAGAAUAUUCUUCUUAGGGAACUAUAACAUUCCAAUGAUAAUGGUAGUCAGCCAUGUGGCUGGAUCAUCGUUCCUGUAUCCUGGUCUCUAUGACUUAGUGUGGUGAUGGUGUCAUUGUGUCCAAGUGUGACAGAAUUGUUAGUGUGUAGUGUCUGUCUCCUAUCUCAGGCUCACAGUCCCUUUUAUAAACAUGCCUGGAUUGAUGAUGGCUUCAGUAUCUUUUGGAAAUCUGGACUGAGCAAUAGAAUUGCUUCUCUCAAAUUGAUUUCAAGUCAUAUAAAAGGCCAUGUUACACAUAUAUUGUUAAUCUGAGGGAGGCUGUGAUCAUUUAAGUUGUAUUUUAUAAACACUAGGACCACCAGUAAGAAAACAAUUCAAAAAAUAUUAAAAGAACAACCAAAGAAUUAAAAUAGAAUAACCGAAAAGAUCUGUUUAACACAAAAGAAGGCAGUUAAAGAUGAACAGAGGAACCAAUAAGACAUAUAGAAAACAGAUAGGAAAAUGACAGACAUAAACCCAGCCAUAUGACAAUUAUAUUAAAUUUUUAAGAGAUUAGGAAAUUCCGUUGUUUUUUAAACAUGAGCAACUAUACGCUGUCUACAGAAGAGACACUUUAGAACAAAAGAUACAAAUAGUUGGAAAGUAAAAAGAUGGAAAAAGCUAUAUCCAGCGAAUCCAGAAGAGAGCAGAAGUGGCUAUUCUGACAUCAGAAAAAAGAGACUUUAAGAUAAAGUAUUGCUAGAGAGGAAGAAGGAUAGUAUUUAAUGAUAGAAGGGUUAAUAUGGAAUAUGUAACAAUUACAAUCAUAUCAGCACUAACAACAGUGCCCAAAACUACAUACACUGAAAUUUAACAUGAUUGAGGGGAUCAAUAGGCAAUUCAACAAUAAAAGCUUUUGUUCAUACCCUCUUCUUAAUCAGUGAUAAGUCAAUUAGAUAGAGCAUCAUUGAGGUUACAACAUACUUCAGCAAUGUUGUCAACCAAUUUGACCUGAGAUAGAUAGAUAGACAGUUAGACAGACAGACAGACAGACAGAGAAAACUUCACCCAACAACAGAAAUACAAAUUAUUUUCAAGCAUACCUGGAACAUUCUCCAGGAUAGAGUAUAUGUUAGGCUAUAAAACUGUACUCAAUAAAUUUAAGAUUGAAACCAUGUAGAGUAUGUUGUGUGACCAUAGAGGAAUUAGAAAUCAACACAGAAAUAAAUUUGGAGGUCACAAGAUAUUUGGAAAUUAACACACUUUACAGAGCCCAUUGGUCAAAAAUAUAUAUAUUAAACUAGAAAGGCCGGGGGUGGUUGCUUACACCUGUAAUUCCAGCACUUUGGGAGGCGUAGGUGGGCACAUCACUUGAGGCCAGGAGUUCAAGACCAACCUGGGCAACAUGGCAAAACCCCAUCUCUACAAAAAAAUACAAAAAAUGAGUUGAGCAUGGUGGUGCAUGCCUGUAGUCCCAGCUACUCAGGAGGCUGAGGUAGGGGAAUCACCUGAGCCCAGCAGGUAGAAGCUGCAUUGAACCAAGAUUGCACCACUGCAUACCAGCCUGGGCGACAAAGUGAGACCCUGUCUAAAAAA